GAAAUAUAAAAAUGGAUUUCUAACCCAAAAUAAAUGACUAAUAUCAUAAUAUUUCU
rnacentral:tRNA from 1 species